AGGAGUGUAGCUCAACUGGUAGAGCACCGGUCUCCAAANCCGGGGGUUGGGGGUUCGAGCCCCUCCACUCCUGCCA
rnacentral:tRNA from 1 species